rnacentral:rRNA from 1 species
AUGCAUUGGAAACUGUUAACCUAGAGUUUGGUAGAGAGUUCUGGAACUCCAUGUGGAGCGGUGGAAUGCGUAGAUAUAUGGAAGAACACCAGUUGCGAAGGCGAGAACUUGGGCCACAACUGACGCUUAGGCUCGAAAGUGUGGGGAGCAAAUAGGAUUAGAUACCCUAGUAGUCCACACCGUAAACGAUGGGUGUUAAACGUCGGGAUUUAAUCUCGGUGUUGUAGUUAACACAUUAAACACCCUGCCUGGGUAGUACAUUCGCAAGAAUGAAACUCAAACGGAAUUGACGGGGACCCGCACAAGUGGUGGAGCAUGUUGUUUAAUUCGACGAUACACGUAGAACCUUACCUAGACUUGACAUCCUUGGCGAAGUUAUAGAAAUAUAAUGGAGGUUAACCGAGAGACAGGUGGUGCAUGGUUGUCGUCAGCUCGUGUCGUGAGAUGUUGGGUUAAGUCCCGCAACGAGCGCAACCCUUAUCGUUAGUUAUUUUGUCUAACGAGACUGCCAACGCAAGUUGGAGGAAGGCGGGGAUGACGUCAAAUCAUCAUGCCCCUUAUGUCUAGGGCCACAAACGUGCUACAAUGGUCGGUACAAACAGUCGCUAAUUCGUAAGAUAGAGCUAAUCUGUAAAGCCGAUCUCAGUUCGGAUAGAGGGCUGAAAUUCGCCCUCUUGAAGUUGGAAUCACUAGUAAUCGCGAAUCAGCCAUGUCGCGGUGAAUACGCUCUCGGGUCUUGUACACACCGCCCGU